rnacentral:rRNA from 1 species
UACGUAGGGCGCGAGCGUUAUCCGGAAUUAUUGGGCGUAAAGGGUGCGUAGAUGGUUGAUAUAAGUCUUUUGUAAAAAUGCUAGGCUCAACCUAGUAGGGCAAAAGAUACUGAUGAGCUAGAGUACGGCAGAGGCAAGUGGAACUACAUGUGUAGCGGUGAAAUGCGUAGAUAUUAGGAGGAACACCAGUGGCGAAGGCGGCUUGCUGGGCCUGUACUGACAUUGAGGCACGAAAGCGUGGGGAGCAA